rnacentral:lncRNA from 1 species
AAGAACUCUGAGCAGGUCCCAUCAUCUCUCCGAGCCUCAUCUGUGAAUUGGGAUAAUAAUCGCAUCUGCUUCACAGCGCUGCGCUGCGGAUGUCAUGAGUCUGCCUGUGUCUGGCCCAGAGCAGUGCCCAUGCAUGCCAGCUGCUGGAGUUGGUGUUACUCCCUGCCGGGCGUCGCGCAUCAUUCCACGGAGUCCUCACCACUCCUUGAUGGGCAUCACAUGCUGUCCCCUUCACCCCACCCCACUCCGCUCUGUUCUCCUCUUCCCCAGCAGAGGAGAGAGCUCCGAGACAGGAAGGGAAGUGUUGCAGGCCACACGGCUGGUCCUUUGCAAGCCGGGAUGUGAACCCAGCUGUCUGAGCUCCCUGACUUCCUGCAGGAUCCUACAGCUCAAGGGCGUCUGGAGGGCACAAAGCACUGUUCUGUGUUCCACAGUCCUGGUUCCACACCAGCCUGAGUCUGGCUCAGACACACCUACCCUUCCCUCUCUAGUUUGUGUCCCCAUCUGUAACCCUAAGCAGGCUAGAAUUCAUCUCUGACGAAGCGCUUUCCAUCUGGAAUUCCCCACAUUCCCCAGGAGCAGGCGGUUUGCCCUAAAGCUGGUUCUGUGUCCACAGGGGGAGCAGGGCGAGGACGGCAAGGCUGAGGGGCCCCCUGGGCCACCUGGAGAUCGGGGCCCUGUGGGUGAUCGAGGAGACCGCGGGGAACCAGGGGACCCUGGGUACCCUGGACAGGAGGGUGUGCAAGGCCUCCGUGGAAAGCCAGGCCAGCAGGGCCAACCCGUG